rnacentral:rRNA from 1 species
GCUUAACGCGAAGAACCUUACCAAGGCUUGACAUAUACGAGAACGCUCUAGAAAUAGAGAACUCUUUGGACACUCGUAUACAGGUGGUGCAUGGUUGUCGUCAGCUCGUGUCGUGAGAUGUUGGGUUAAGUCCCGCAACGAGCGCAACCCUCGUUCUAUGUUGCCAGCGGUUCGGCCGGGAACUCAUAGGAGACUGCCGGGGUCAACUCGGAGGAAGGUGGGGAUGACGUCAAAUCAUCAUGCCCCUUAUGUCUUGGGCUUCACGCAUGCUACAAUGGCCGGUACAAAGGGCUGCAAUACCGUAAGGUGGAGCGAAUCCCAAAAAGCCGGUCUCAGUUCGGAUUGAGGUCUGCAACUCGACCUCAUGAAGUCGGAGUCGCUAGUAAUCGCAGAUCAGCAACGCUGCGGUGAAUACGUUCCCGGGUCUUGUACACACCG